GCAGGUGGAGACUGGGUCCUCCCUCAGCUCGCCUGCAUCUGCAAUCUCCUGGAUUUCUCCAACCGGAUACAAGGAGAGCUGGCAGCAGAACAUGCUUUUUAGGGUUUUCUAUCCAAUUCCUGAAUAUCUGGAUGGCAUUGCUUAUAUUAGUCUCAAGUGUAGUCUGUACUGCUUAAUGUGGGUUUUGUUCACAGUUACUCUAAAAACCUAAAAAUUAAUGUCCUUUGUGGUACUUGAAGGGGUUGUCUCAUAAAGAAGAUUGAGCAGGAUUAAGUCACUUUUGGAGGAAACUCUGAUCUAGGAUUUCUUAGUUCCCCUUGUAUUUUUCAG